rnacentral:rRNA from 1 species
UAUGUGAUCGUCUCUCGCAUAUCAAUAAGCGGAGGAAAAGAAACUAACAAGGAUUCCCCUAGUAACGGCGAGUGAAGCGGGAAGAGCUCAAAUUUGAAAUCUUAAAGGGUUUCCCUUUACGAAUUGUAGUUUAAAGAAGUGUUUUCUGUUGAGGUUUUGGUAAAAGUUCUUUGGAAUAGGACAUCAUAGAGGGUGAGAAUCCCGUAUUUGACCUUUACUUUCAACUUUGUGAUACACUUUCAAAGAGUCGGAUUGUUUGGGAAUGCAGUCCAAAAUGGGUGGUAAAUUUCAUCUAAAGCUAAAUAUUGGCGAGAGACCGAUAGCGAACAAGUACCGUGAGGGAAAGAUGAAAAGAACUUUGAAAAGAGAGUUAAACAGUACGUGAAAUUGUCAAAAGGGAAGCGUUUGACACCAGUGUUGUUUUUCUGAAAAUCAAUUAAAGAACUGUUUAUGCUAAGCUGUUUAGACUUUAUCAGCUAUCUGUUUAGUUUUGAGCUUUUCUUUAAUGCACUUUUCAGUUAACAAGUCAACAUCAAUUUCUUUUGCUGUAAAAAAGCUUGAGGAAGGUGGCUUGAGAUUCGUCUUAAGUGUUUAUAGCCUCUUGCCUAUGCAGUCGGAGAGAUUGAGGUCUGCAGCGUAGAUCCUUCGGGGCUAAAUGCAUUUGUGCUAAGUUAUAGCAUUUUAUAGACAACUUGUUGACUAUGAUUUGUCUUGUAGCUUACUCGCUUAUGUUAUUUACCUACGCUUAGGAUGUUGAGCGCAUGUCUCUCUCU